UGGGCGGGGCCUCUGGGGCGCUCGCAUUUCUGCCUUCAAUCCUGCGUGGGUCGGCAAGCCGCGGUCGGCUGGAGCAAGAAAUGGCACACAAUCUCAAAGACAAGAAACUUCUAGAAAAUGCAAGACCAGUUGUGUUGGUGGAUCCUUGCGUCGUAUUUACAGGAACUGGGGGACUUCCCUGGUGGCGCAGUGGUUAAGAAUCCACCUGCCAAUGCAAGGCACACAGGUUUGAUCCCUGGUCUGGGAAGAUCCCACAUGCCGUGGAGCAACAAAGCCCAUGCGCCACAACUACUGAAGCCCGCAUGCCUAGAGUCCGCGCUCGGCAACAAGAAAAGCCACCGCAAUGAGAAGCACGUGCACCUCAAGGAAGAGUAGCCCCCUCUCGCCACAACUAGAGAAAGCCUGCGAGCAGCAACGAAGACGCAGCG